CCCCUGCCCCAGCGGCCCCGCGGAGCCCGGCCGUGCCUGGCUUGGCCGCAGCCGGGAGGGAGCGAGGCGAGGCGAGGGCAGCCGGCUCCGCCGCCACCCCCCCGCUCGGGGAGCUUUCUAUAAAAAUGCGUGUGAGCCCCGGGAUAGGGCUGUCCGGCGGUGCUCGAGUCCCGCUACCAAGGAACGGCCCGUUGCAGAAACAAAACGACACCCCGCACAAGCCAUAAUGAUGAUGAUGAUGCUGACGGGAGGGGGGGAAAUAAAUAAAUAAAAGCGAGCGAGAGCCGGCGAGGGAGAGGGAGGCAGGUUCAAUUAUCUAAACAAAGAAAUCAUGGCGGAGUGUUUACAUUUGGCAGCCCCAAGCCUGGCGGAUUACGGUCCCCCCCCGGCCCCCCCGGCCCCCCGCGGUAGCGCCGUGCCGGAGCCCGCCCGCCGACCCCUCGCCGCGGCCCGAGUCUGAAACAGCUGCUUUGAAGAGAUCUUUCAAAUGAAUGCCUAGGCUGUGAAUUGCUAAGACCGUUGAUAAGAACAGAAGGAACAGAUGGUGGCACCAUCCUGUCUCAGCACCAAACACUGCCCUACAGUUGUACCCGGUAUGACAAGCAUCCCCGUGUGGAGACGCAGAUAGUGCUCCUGCAAAGUUGAGAUCCCAAGUGGAGGAUCCCCUGUGACAGACAGCACUACUGCCAGGACCUGACACGGAGCCGGGGCUGCUGGCGGGAGCCAAGCUGCAGCAGAGCAAGCAGAGAGUCUGGUGCACUCGUAUUGGCAGGUCUGCUUGGUGGAUAUUAAGGCAGACUUCUACAGGUGAGGGACAACUGUCUGCAGAUCUCCAGCUGCACUCCACUUCUCCUUAGGCAUGGUGUCACUGGGGCACCCUUCAUCGCAAUACAGACCAUGGAAACCAUGUUCCUUUACUAAUUCAGCAUGGGGACGUUGUGUCCUCUAAUGAGCAGCUUGGAUGGACUUCACUAGUUAGCAGAAUUCACCAUUGGCUGCUCCAGGCCUUUCUCUCAGUGCCUUCACAGCUGGCUCUGAUCUGCGCUCCCUCGGCUCCCGCCUGCGCCUCCAAACCCCGGCACGCCAUCAUCCUGCGCAGGCACUGCCACCGCUCCUUUCUCCCCCGCCGCUGCAAGCCACCGAGUCUCAGCUCUGCUGCCUCCCUGCCAGUGAAGGGAUCUCCCUCUCCCACAAAGGCACCACUGUCUCUGCAAAGCGCUCCGGUGACUUUAAUCUGUAAUAUCAGCAAUAAUCACUGUGGUAUUGUUGCCUAGGCAUUCUUGAAGAGUCAGAAGUGGACUGUAAUUGAAGAGUUCAUUACCAAGAUCAGUUGGCUCCUUGAUUACAGUGGCAAGGUGAAAUAUAUAUCCUCACCAAAAAGCAACUGCUAAACCUUUAGAGAAGUCACCCACUUUUCACUCUUUAUCAUUAGGACCCCGACAAGCUUGUCAGCAAAAUUAAAGCCAAAGGCAUCACCAGCAAAUCAGACCCAAGAUUUGGGGGCUGUGAUACUGCACCGCUAUUCCCCGUAGCAGCCAAGUACUUCUCCUUGUACCUCUC